UCGAUUAGUUUCACACACAACCGACUAGAUUAAUGCACAUUUAGAUUUCUAAUGAUAAAUGAGAGUGCCGAGACGUUUAAAUCAUCAACGUGAUUUACUACGAACUCGAUCCCGCGGUGCGUGUCCUAGUUUAACGAAGCAGGAAUAUGGAUGAAAUUGAAGAAAAUAGUAUUAUAGAUGAAAAUGAGGAAGAUAAACAGAAAUUGGAUGUUUUCAAAUUUAGACGACACGUAGACAGAAACAAAAUGUUUGUGGAGCCACCUAAAACAAUUCGAUACUCCGAAGGCACCACGCCGAACGUUUAUUUGGAAAUAGAUGAACAAAAGCGGCCAAAAACUUACGCUAUACUGCAGGAAACACGAACUGAAUUCACAAGUAGCAAAUUAAGAUCCAUUUUGCUAAUAUACUCUAAUCCUGGAUGGGAAGUCUUCUCGUUAACUGCAUUAUUUAUUGCGUACAUUUUGGACAGCUGUCUUUAUACAUUUUGCAAAUUUAACGAAAGACCAUUUUGGGGCAUUAUACUUGUAAUAUGUUUCAACUUUAUGUUUGCUAUCGAUGUCGUCGUCGUAGUGGGCUUAAAAUUCUCUAAGAAAUGGAGAAAGACACUAAAUCUUGUCGAACCUGGUACGAGCCGAGUGGUGUUAGAUGUUUGUUUGGCUAUACCGUUCUCGUUUUCCUACUUGGUGGACCUAACACACUGGUCUUUAGAUUUCCACGCUAUAUCUCCACUUGUAGCUACUGUACGAAUUUACAGAAUUUUGGAAUACUUUUACAAUCGAUCUUCGCAAGCUGGCAGUAAUCAAUGGACAACAUUUUUAUCGCAAUAUCUCGUUCUUUUCGUGCUUUCAGUGCAUACAUGGUCAUGUGUGUGGUUCCUUUUCGCAAAUAAGAGUUUUGACUUACAUAAAAUACGAUCUUCUUGGUCAUACGAAGCCAUUUACCUUCCAACAGAGGAGACUUUAGACUGGUAUUACGUCUGUACAUAUUGGUCUGUAAUGUUUUUAACAACGAAUGCACUGGGCGACUUGUACCCUGUUACUACUAAGGAGCGAAUUACAGCCAUUUUAGCAAUUUUGUUAGGGUUUCUCCUAACUACGUUAGUUUUUGUGGGCUCUUUGACUUCACAAUUUAUAACGAUAACAACCAGGCGUUCUAAAUAUGUUAGACGACUGAAGAAGAUUAAAAAUCACCUUAGAUUGAUAAAAAUGGAUUCUGACACAACUAAACGUAUUAUAAGUUACUACGAAGAUCUCUGGUAUCAAAAAUCUGGAGUUUUCAAACCAAAACUCUUAAAGCUACUACCACUUCCAUUACAAAUGGAAAUAUGUUACGAUCUAAAUGCUGUUCCGCUCUACAGCUCCUUAAUAUUUAGAAAGCUACCGGAGGCAUUCCUUAGAAGACUAUCAUUAGACAUGACUCAUCAGUUUUAUUUACCGGGAGAUGUUGUUUAUAAUCACAACCAGAACAAGACUAUUAUGGUCUGCAUUACAAAUGGUGUACUUGAGCUAUUGUCGGAUGAAGAUGACGAAAGUCCAAUGAUAUCUUUUGCUAAAGGCACCUGCUUUGGAGAAAUUGCUUUAGUAUACAAUAUUCCCGCAAGGUGUACGGUUAAAGCUGCCACAUACGUCGAAUGCCAAGUUCUAGAAAAAACAAAAUUUAUAAAACUCAUGAUUACAUAUCCUGAUUUAGUCGAUAAAAUAAGACAGGAAGUCCAGCAGAGGAUCGCGAGAAGUCGACGGAGGAAACAAACUCAAGGCGAUCACGUCCCUUUGACUUUAAAUAUUUAUGCGUCUAAAAAUAGAAAAAAGAGUAGAAUUAAAUGUUUAAAGGACAAACUGAGAUACUUACAAGGUAAAACAGAGAUCGACACGGUUACUAAAGAAGAUCAAUUGGACGAAAAUUGCUUAGAUUUGUACAUCUUGUCGGAACACAUUAAAAAGAAAACUUCUGCUUUUACAUGCAUGAACGCAUCCUUCCCAUGGAUUCUAGAAGAUGGGUGUCCUCUGGUCAAAUACUGGGAAUAUUACAUGCUCUUACUAGUCGUGUAUAUCAGCAUAUUUUACCCUUACUACAUUGGCAUUAAACGACGCUUUCCAGACGGAAUUAGCUUUUAUGGCCAAGUCAUUAUAACCAUAUCGUUGAUGUUGAACCUCCUUAUAACAUGUGUUACUGCAGUUAAAACGAAAAAGAAAUACAUCAGAAGCUUGAAAAACAUACUGAGCUACAGAAUGAACACUCUUGGCUUGUAUCUUGACGUAUUGGCAAUAAUACCGUUUGAAUACAUUGUAACAAUACACACGACUGUUAAAUAUCACGACAAUUAUAGAGACCAUUUGUUUUAUCUUUGUAAAGGAAUCAAGCUGUGCCUAGUAUGGAGACUUUCGAGUUUAUUUGAAAAUUUAGAGAAAAUGUUGUUACUUAACACCCUUUUGGUCAAAAUAGUAAAAUACUGCAUUUACAUAUCCCUCUUGUGUUACUGGUGCGGCAUUGUGGUCUACAUGGAGUCGUGUUUUGUGAAUAGAUGUUCGGAAAAUUCAUGGUUCAGUAGAGCGUUAAUAUGGGAGGACCACGUUGACGGCGUUACGUAUAGCAAGACCAGAUAUCCAAUCGUGACGGCCGUCUACUUCGCAACAACCAUUUUAUUAUCCGUCGGAUACGGUGAUUUCUCACCUGGAGACAAAUACGAUAUGGCUUUCGUGGCCUUUCUAAGCCUAUACGGUGUUUUGUUAAUCGGCUAUUGUGUGUCGGAAUUUUCUGCUGUCGUAACACAUUGGUCGAGAACAAAAACAGCAUUUCUAGAAGUUAUCAUUACAAUAGACAAAUUCAUGAAAGAGAAUAAUAUGCAUCCAGCGAUCAAGUCGAGGAUAAUGGCGUUUUACGAACUACAAUGGCAAUAUAACUCGGGUGUGGAACUCACAGAUGAAAAUUGGUUGGAAAAAUCUGUUAUUCCUUCAGAGCUGCGCAAAAAAGUGUUGCACCAAGCGAGAUUUAAGGCGUUAACCUCUAUAACAUUCUUUCAAGUGAAAAAUAAAGCGUACAUUCAAACGUUAACAGAAACGGCGCGUGACAUCAUUCUGCCGCCAGGCGAAAUAGUUUAUUACGGAGGUACGGUUACAAGAGAGCUAUAUAUUAUCGAGAGUGGCUACUGUUUGGUAACAUCGCACGAAAUGAGAGAAAAGAAAAUGGAGCGGAUCAUUGGCCCGGGGAAUCAUUUGGGACUCCUGGUUUUGCUUUACGGUGUACCGGCUACAAGCACUGUGAUUACAUUAACUCAUUGCAAGUUAAUAAGUGUGAGCCAUUCAGCCUACACAUCGGCUUUGAGUUUAUUUCCGGAUAUGAAAAAACACGAUGGCCUCAUGACUCCUGAAGAACUACAAAUGAUUGAAAUGCAGGCUAAAUCGCAAAAUGUCGACGCUUACCUGAGGCAUUAUAACCAAUUGAAAGCAAAAAAGCCGAGGGUCAGAAUAACGAAUGUCUUACAAGACUUUUUUAAUGAUUCCUUCAUCGACGUUGCCGAUGAAUACAAGAAGAAUAAGGAGAGUUACACCAAAUCUUACAAUCAGUUCACCAUCCUCAACAACAUCUCCCCAUAUUUAUUGAUGCCUAUUACUAUAAAACCCGAUGGCAUAUUUCUUAAAACUUGGGCGAUGGUCCGCGUUUGCAUUGCUUAUGUUUUAUGUCUACUUAUUCCCGUCAUUGUAGCUUUCGCACCACCUUGCCGAAUAUUCAACGUGGCAUUAAUAAUAUUAGAAUCAUUUUGUUACAUUGAUAUAUAUGUUAGGCUACAUGUAGCUUACUACGGGUCGAAGAAUCAACUGAUAUAUCAUCCUUAUAUGACAGCGCGUCAUUACCUCACAGGUCCAUUCAUUACGGAUUUUUUAACAAGCUUCCCCUGGUACGCAAUUUGGAAGUUGUUUGUACCCAAACACAACGAAUACCAUACACAACAAGACCAUCUUCUAAAUCCCCACAUGUUACACUGCAUAUUAAGAAUGGCAAACGUAACGCAGAUCUUUAAACUGUGGACUGCUUUUUGGACGGAAUCUAUUGGAGCAUUGAAAAGAGCAUAUCUGAUGAGUGUGGUGCAAUUUCUUCUGCUUACUUUGUUUUUCCUUAAUCUAUACACGUCAAUAUUAAUAAUGCUAUCCUGUAGAUACGUGAUAGCCUCUGAUUAUGAUGAUUUUAAGCGCCAGAUUUCGCAGUUAUCAUUGGAAGGUCCGUAUAUGACUACUAAAUAUCACCAAGACGGAAACAUGAUCUGUCAACGAGCAUCUUGGAUUGAUUCAGCAUACAUACUGAGAGACGUAUAUCUGUCCCCGGAGAAAGUAUAUUUAAUGGCAUACUAUUGGGCCGCAACGAGCUUCAGUGGGGCUGGGUUCGGUGAUAUUACUGCCCAAAACACCACUCACAUGAUACUGUCUAUUUGUAUAAAUAUACAUGGAGUCUUGUUCUUUGGAUAUGUUUAUGCGAGGAUAGCGUCACUCAAAGCCACGGCCGAUCAAGUGGUGACUAAGUUUCAAGAAAAUUUAAAACAUCUAGACCUGUUCUUGAACAGAGAAAGCGUGCCUUUUGUAUUAAAACGAGCUGUGAUUGAUUAUUGGAAAUACCAAUGGAAAAGAACUGGCGGAUGGUCUCACCAAAGAAUAUUGGGUAAACUGCACGCUAAUUUAAACGAAGACGCUGUCUUGUACAUGUAUGAGAAAACAUUGCGUGAAAUUCCACUUUUUGAAAAUGUCGAAACCUCAUUCUUCAGGGCUUUCGCAAAAAAACUCAAAGAACAGUACUUUCAGAAAAGUUACAUGGUAAUGAGAUCUAACGAAGUUAUAAGUACCAUGUACAUAAUUUAUCGUGGAAAAGUGGACAUAGUAUCGGACAUAAACGAAGUUGAAGCAUGCAUGGGACCGGGCGGUAUAUUUGGCAACAUAAAAGGAGGUUCCAAAUACCUGACAAUGUCGAAUGUGAUAGCUUCUAGGAACAUUGACGUGUUGUGCAUACAGGGACACGAUUUCUACGCUCUUUUGAAGAGUUACCCGUCGGUUUUAGUGAAGGUUAAACAUUCAGUAGAUUCUGCAGUUAAAGAUUACGUACUGCCAACAAUGACAUCUGAACGGAACAGUGCUGAAAUUGAGGCUUAUCCUCUGAGCUACGAGCCAGGAGAUGAAGACGACAAUGACGUCGACAUGAGUAUAUAUUUAGAGAGUCCAGAAAAAAGCAUCACAGAGUCACAUGGCUCGAGAUCAAUAACGUCAUCAGGCAAUGCAGAUUACGAACCAGCUUCGCUCCUAAUUCUAAAACCGCACAGAUGGUUCCGCGGCAGCAUUAUACCCGACAGCAAAUUAAUGACAUUUAUGGAAUAUCUCAUCCUGUGUCUAUCGUACAUAGACUUCAUGUUGCUUGUGUAUCAGAUGGCAUUCCAAUCAAUUCCUUACUUUUUCCACAUCUGUGUUACAUUUGACGUAAUAUUUCUCUAUAAGACGUUUCUAGACAUGCAUAGUGGCUAUAUGAAUCGUUACGGCGAUUACGUUUUGAACCCAAAGAAAGUUCGAGCAAUGUAUUUCUCAAAAAUAUUUCUACGGAGACGUGAUUUUAUAGCGAAUUUCCCAUUGAGCUAUCUGGUUUUUGCUUUGUCCCUCCGACCACAAAUGCAACUUGCUUUAUUUUGUUAUACAAGAACGCCACAGCUCUUUAGAAUAUCCUACCUGUUCACUUAUCGAACACACAAAAAGACGAAUAUUGGAUCUGGGAAUCUGUUAUUUAAAUUGACUUCCAUUGCAAUAUGGGCAUCAAUAUUGUCACACGUAAACGCAUGCCUAUUUUACAAACUAUCUUGUUUAACGCCCGUACAUUGCACUUCAGCCAACUGGAUGGCAAAAGCAGAAUUAAAUCUACGCGCGAAAUAUUCUGAGGAAAGCUACUUUACUAUUUACAUAGCUGCUUUGUGGUAUAUGAUCAAUCUUUUAACAAUUACCGGCUCUGGUGAUGUCACGUCUCAAAAUAAUUUUGAAGUCAUAGAAACAAUCAUCGUCAUCAUUGUCAUUAAGUUCUGUACAGGUCUACUUAUAUCAGAAAUGUCAGCGAUGAUAUCGGCACAUUCGUCAUCGCGUAUAGCUUACGAUGAAGGCAUCAACGAGUUAAGAGAUGGACUAAACGAUAUGGAUCUAAGUUCUCAUCAGAUGAGCAAAAUGUGGGACUACGUUAGAGAAUUGUGGAACCGACAGCAGGGUAGACAGAUGCCCAAAUUAGUCUACAAAUUACCAUUUCGUCUUCGAUGUCAAAUUAUGCAAGCUGUAUACGGGUCUCAUAUCCGAGAAUCGGCAAUAUUCGGAAAAACUGAUGAUGACUUCAAAAGGAUGCUAUCUAUGUGGAUGAAACACUGCGUAUUCUUUCCGGGAAACUACAUUGUACAAAAUGGCGACUCUAAUCAAUGUAUUUACUUCAUACAUAGAGGACAGGAUCACAGCUACGCAUACGCUAGCGUAAGCCAAGAUAUUUUUUGCCAAUAUAUUGGUUGAGGAAAGAAAAAUCAUUUUGAUAACUGGGACGAAAGAACGAAGGGAACGACAUAAAACUACAAAUGAUUUUCCUCAUAUUCACCACUUACGAUAUACGAUUUAAUAACCAGGUUGAAGUUCUGACAGUCCAUCCAAAUCUUACUGAAUCUAUUUACGAUGUUUUGGGACCCGAAGACAGUUUUGGCGUAGCGCAGG
rnacentral:misc_RNA from 1 species